AGCUCUAAUAGCGUAUAUUAAAGUUGUUGCAGUUAAAAGCUCGUAGUUGAACCUUGGGUUAGCGCUACUGGUCUGCUUAGGUUCGCCCUGGCGUGAAUCGGUUUCGCUAGCCUUCUGUCUUGGGGUUGUGUCUGCUGCGUUCGUGGUGGGCAUGAUUACAAGGCCGUUUACCUUGAAGAAAUUGGAGUGUUUAAGGCAAGCGAUUGCGUCUGAACAUAUUAGCAUGGAAUAAUGAAAUAAGGCUUUGGUCUUAUUUUGUUGGUUUCCGAGACCGAAGUAAUGAUUAAUAGGGAUAGUUGGGGGCAUUAGUAUUUGAUAGUCAGAGGUGAAAUUCUUAGAUUUAUCAAAGACUAACAAACUGCGAAAGCAUUUGCCAAGGAUGUUCUCA
rnacentral:rRNA from 1 species